AUCAGGCCGAGUAAUUUUCCGAUACGCCCGUUCCAAGUCGGGAGUUGAGCCAUGGAGCUUGAGCGAAGGCUUGGGCUUCAGGGUUCUUAGAGUGGAGGGCACCGCGUUAGGCUGGUUUCACAGARCAGCGACAACCUCCCACUCCCGCCGGUGGAAGGAUAACGAGUCGGUUCUCCCCUGAU
rnacentral:SRP_RNA from 1 species